rnacentral:rRNA from 1 species
UCCUACGGGGCGCAGCAGUGGGGAAUAUUGGGCAAUGGGCGCAAGCCUGACCCAGCGACGCCGCGUGGGUGAUGAAGGCCUUCGGGUCGUAAAGCCCUGUCGGGUGGAAAGAAUGGUGGCUCGGCAAAUAGCCUUGUCACGUGACGGUACCACCGAAGGAAGCACCGGCCAAUUCCGUGCCAGCAGCCGCGGUAAGACGGAAGGUGCAAGCGUUGCUCGGAAUCACUGGGCGUAAAGGGUGCGUAGGCGGCUUCUUAAGUCUGACGUGAAAGCCCAAGGCUUAGCCUUGGAAGUGCGCCAGAAACUGGGAAGCUAGAGUGCCGGAGGGGAGAGUGGAAUUCCUGGUGUAGCGGUGAAAUGCGUAGAUAUCAGGAGGAAUACCGGUGGCGAAAGCGACUCUCUGGACGGCAACUGACGCUGAGGCACGAAAGCGUGGGGAGCAAACAGGAUUAGAUACCCGAGUAGUCU